AUUCCCUCGUUUAGUCUUGGGUUGACUCAGGAUACGUCUCCGGUGGGAUUUGGAUUGUCUCAAGAUCUGCCAACCCAAUGUUGGGAGGUGGUGGAUGCUAUUGUCCGUGAAUAUGACGUACGUACGCCAAAUGUCGUGCCUCGUGGUUGGUCAUCCGCCCCAUGUGGUUCAGUCCGUGAUCACCAAGUAUCAGCUAUCCGUAAAAAUUCACCACAUAGCUUGGGAGUACGUAUUGCGGGGGGUCACAAAAGGCCCCGGCACGAUGGUGUUCCUGGGGGGAGUGCAACGAAGGUGACUCCGGUGGAGGCCCGUGAUCACCAAGUAUCAGCUGUCCGUAAGCCUUCAUCACUUAGCCUGGGAGUACGUAUUGGCGGGGGUAACAAAAGGACCUUGCGCGAUGGU